ACACUAGUUUAAUUUCCCAUGAGAAGUGAGAACCCUUUCACUCACGUCCUCCACAGCCAGCCCUCUCUCCCAGCCCUUCGUCAUCAUCACUGAGAACCGUCCUCACUGAGAACCCUGGCACCCAGCCCUCUGUCGCCAUCCUUUGUCGCGCCCUCUCUCGCAGCCCGCUAUCGCAACCCUCUAUUGCAUCCUCAGCUUUGUAGUUUAUCACAAGCCUCAUCCUCGGAUUCGCACUCCACCGGAACCGUCCUCCUCGGAUUCUCACUUUAUCAGCGCUGCCUCCGUCGGCGCACCUUGCAUCUGUGUGCCCUCCCUUGGUGGUCACUCUCUCUCGUAAAGGUGCUAGGUGAGAACAACAUCAACGUCCCCUUGAUCCUCGAAGCUUCUGACCGAAUCGGCGGCAGGAUUUGGAAGGAAACAUUCACUGGCAUCUCCAUCGAGCUCGGUGCUGAAUGGAUUGCCGGUGUCGGUGGUAAAGUGUCCAAUCCUGGUUUAGGGGCACAUCAUUAACAGAAGUGCACAAUGCUAAAGAAAGUGCAAGGGCUGAAAGAACACCUGCAGUUGCUAAGAGAAGUACUCAGGUUUCCACAUCACAGCACAAGAAAUCAGUCUCUAAACUAGUCUCUAGUGUUGAUGGUCAAAUUUAUUCGAGGGAAAUACUCAUGAACUAAAAGCUCCUCUUUGGCAGCAUUUUAAUGUUGUCUCCGAUCAGAGUAAAAUGUUGCACUAGUUGUUUUCAUUAAAGAUGUUGAGUAGGCGAUCAUUGGUAAUUCAAACAUUCUGAAGAGUAAACUUGAAAGCUUACCACAAAAUGACAAGGUGCUCGAUAGUCGAAAGGACAAGUUUCCAAACCACACAUGCUGGCAUUCUGUUAACAAAGCUUGGGGCCAAUCUAGCAACAUUACUCGAUCUUUCUUUCCUGGUAGAAUAUGGCAAUAAAACCAACAGUUGCAUUGAGGGCUAUACUUGUUGGAGGGGUUGCAGCAUUCGCUAAAAUGGCCGGUGCAAUAAAGGCCGCAAGUGGUGUAAAAAUGGGUGCAGUGCAGUAGCAGUUGCUGCAAUAACAGUAGCAGCAACCACAGUUGUGGCAGGAUCAAAACAAGAACAAAAGAUGUUCCUCAACAAUCUCCAAAAUGUAUCUUUAUUUGUUUUUGGAAUUCUUUAUGUAUAUUAGUUGAAUCUUUUUCCGAGUUUUAUGAGAACAAAGAGAGCCAUUUGUGGAUUGUGAUAUU